AUUUAAGUAGCUUAAUUAAAGCACAUCCCUGAAGAAGAUGAGAUGAAUUUUCCUUAAAUA
rnacentral:tRNA from 1 species